AGAGCGCACGGUGGAUGCCUUGGCACUAAUAGGCGAAGAAGGACGCGACUAACAGCGAAAUGCUACGGGGAGCAGUAAGUACGCAGAGAUCCGUAGAUGUCCGAAUGGGGGAACCCACUAGUUUGAAGAACUAGUAUCAUAUAGUGAAUACAUAGCUAUAUGAGGCAAACCUGGAGAAUUGAAACAUCUUAGUACCCAGAGGAAAAGAAAAUAAAUAAUGAUUCCCUAAGUAGAGGCGAUUGAAAGGGGAAGAGCCCAGCACCAUCAAGAGUUACAAAAUCUUUUUAUAGUAGAAUUGUAUUGGAAAAGCAAGUCAAAGAAGGUGAAAGCCCUGUAUACGAAAUAAAGAGAUCUCGGUGUGAGAGUAGGGCGGAGCACGUGAAAUUCUGUCUGAAUAUGCGAGGACCAUCUCGUAAGGCUAAAUACUCAUUAGUGACCGAUAGUGAACCAGUACUGUGAAGGAAAGGUGAAAAGAACCCCUGGCGGGGAGUGAAAAGAACCUGAAACCGUGUGCUUACAAACAGUUAGAGCCCAUCAAUGGGUGAUAGCGUGCCUUUUGUAGAAUGAGCCGGCGAGUUACGUUAAUUUGCAAGGUUAAGCUUUUAGGAGUGGAGCCGUAGCGAAAGCAAGUCUUAAUAGGGCGAAUAAGUAGAUUGACGUAUACCCGAAACCGGGUGAUCUAGCCAUGAGCAGGUUGAAGCUUGGGUAAAACCAGGUGGAGGACCGAACCAGGGUCUGUUGAAAAAGACUUGGAUGACUUGUGGCUAGGGGUGAAAUUCCAAUCGAACCCGGAGAUAGCUGGUUCUCCCCGAAAUAGCUUUAGGGCUAGCGUUGUGAGAAGAGUUAUACGAAGGUAGAGCACUGAAUGGGUGAGGGCCGCACCUCGCGGUACCAAUCUCAAUCAAACUCCGAAUGUCGUAUAAUAUGCGCAGCAGUAAGACUAUGGGUGAUAAGGUCCAUGGUCAAAAGGGAAACAGCCCAGACCGCCAGUUAAGGUCCCAAAAUUAUGCUAAGUGGGAAAGGAGGUGGAGUCGCUUAAACAACUAGGAGGUUGGCUCAGAAGCAGCCAUCCUUUAAAGAGUGCGUAAUAGCUCACUAGUCGAGUGAUUCUGCGCCGAAAAUGUAUCGGGGCUAAGCAUAAUACCGAAGCUGCGGGAUUAGAUGAAGAAUCUAGUCGGUAGGGGAGCGUACUAAGUGCGUAGAAGGUUGACCGGAAGGGCAGCUGGAGCGCUUAGCAGUGAGUAUGCCGGUGUGAGUAGCGAUAAGAUGGGUGAGAAUCCCAUCCGUCGAAAGCCUAAGGUUUCCAGGGGUAAGGCUCGUCCUCCCUGGGUAAGUCGGGUCCUAAGGUGAGGCUGAGAAGCGUAGCUGAUGGACAUCAGGUUGAUAUUCCUGAACCACCAUAAAACUGAAGGAAUGACGGAGGAGGCUAAUCAGAGCUGAUUAAUGGAUUUCAGUUUAAGUACAAAGAGGGUUACGUAGGCAAAUCCGCGUAGCAAAACCUUGAAGUAUGAUGACGUAAGUCUGGUGAAGCCACACUUCCAAGAAAAGUUUCUAGGUGUAUUUUAUGGUGCCCGUACCGUAAACGGACACACGUAGGCGAGGAGAGAAUCCAAAGACGCGCGAGAUAAUUCUUGUUAAGGAACUCUGCAAAAUUACUCUGUAACUUCGGAAUAAAGAGGGCUCCCGUGAGGGAGACGCAGAAAAUAGGCCCAAGCGACUGUUUAACAAAAACAUAGGUUUCUGCUAAAGCGUAAGCUGAUGUAUAGGAGCUGACGCCUGCCCAGUGCUGGAAGGUUAAGAGGAGAAGUUAGUCGCAAGGCGAAGCUUUGAAUUGAAGCCCCAGUAAACGGCGGCCGUAACUAUAACGGUCCUAAGGUAGCGAAAUUCCUUGUCAGGUAAGUUCUGACCCGCACGAAAGGCGUAACGAUUUGGGCGCUGUCUCAACAAGAAACUCGGUGAAAUCAUAGUACCUGUGAAGAUGCAGGUUACCCGCGAUCAGACGGAAAGACCCCAUGGAGCUUCACUGCAACUUAAUAUUGAUAUUGGGUGUGUGAUGUACAGGAUAGGUGGGAGACAAAGAAGCGAGUACGCUAGUAUUCGUGGAGUCAACCUUGGGAUACCACCCCUCGCACAUUUAGUAUCUAACUAGUUUCCAUAAGCUGGGAAUAGAACAG
rnacentral:rRNA from 1 species